CACUUGGCCGCCUGCAGCGGAGCGCGCAAACUUAACCGCUCGGCCACGGGGCCAGCCCCUCACCAUGCGGAUUUUUCACCUGCACUGUGAACAGCCUUGUCGUCCAAUAAUCACCUUCAGCCCAUUCUACUUAUUGCCACUUGAGGCAACAUUUCCUCGCCGCCGCCAGACUUCACGGACAUAUUUACCGGCAUUUCACAACAGAAACGCAAACGCUAGUAGGCCUGGAUACGCUCACCCUCCGCAGCGCGCACUGAAACGCCUGUUAAAACAGGACCUUCCUUGGUGGCCCUCUCUUCCAUGGACGGGGCAGCACGCCCACGUGCUGUGGAGGGGGCUUUGCUGGUGGGCAGCUGGGCAAGAUGGAACUGGAGCUUUGAAAAUGCUCCUGCCGUUGGCCCAGAGGUUCCAACUCCCCGUAUUUGUCCUACAGGAAGCAUGAGGGGUAUGCCCGAUUUCAUGUACAUUCUCUAACGGCAAACGACGGGCAUCAAGCUGGCUUCCUUCAGGACAGACCCGCUUACCUGUCAGGCCAGACAGCUCCGCGCUGGAUCCUGGGGCCGGCACCCCGUAUAGGAGGCUCCACAGAAACCUCAUGUGCAUACGGGGCCCGAGCCCAGCAGGGGAGGCUGUGAUGGAGGUGGCCAGUGCUGACGGCAGAGGGCUGGGUACCCGCUAAAUGCCAGCAGCCUCGGGGGCCCCCCGGGACAGACCUAACCUGCUGCCUAGUCUUCUUCCAGGUAAGAUGCCAGUAACGUUCAUAUCCCACUUUUAGUGCCUAAAUACCACCUGCAAAAUGUCUUCACAAAGCACAGCCCCCCGGUGCGGCCUAAGUGUGCAACAGCCCACGUCCCGCAGUGGGGGACCGGCUCACAAUGGUAGUUCCAUACUUUGCAGCUGCAUGAAAGUGAGCGAGCUCCACAUAAACUGGGCCACACAGGCCGUGCUAGCCUUGGGAAAUACCAAUAACUGGCUUCAAGGAAAUUCUUUAGCGUGUAAAUCUCAACAAAUCUUCUGCCACGAAGGGCAGGUAUCAAGCAACAUUUCUCUGUGCAGACUGCAGCACAGGCAGUUUUACGCAAGCUCCCUUUUCUUGCCAAGGGCCUGCCUCCAGAGCAGACACACACUGCAAAGACGCCAAAUUGCUUGAAAAGUAAUUUAUUUGCUCCUGAUCACAAAGUCCAGGGAAGGUGCAAGGGCAGUGCGGCUCCCUGGUUGUACCUCCCAGCUGCGGAUCUACAACCGCCUCCGCCCAGCGCCAGGCUCAGUGCCCCCAGCACCCCUCACGUUCUGACAGCUGCAGAGUAUAGCCCGUGACCCCGGGGGCCGUUUAAACGGACGCCCCACUCACAA